rnacentral:rRNA from 1 species
GAUGAACGCUGACAGAAUGCUUAACACAUGCAAGUCGAUGGGGAAGUGGUGCUUGCACCAUGGCAACCAUGGCGGACGGGUGAGUAACGCGUAAGGGACUUACCUGCAGGACUGGGAUAACAGGGGGAAACUCCUGACAAGACCGGAUAAUGUCAUGGAGCUGCAUGGCUUUAUGAUGAAAGGAGACGCCUGCGGAGAGCCUUGCGUCCUAUUAGCUAGUUGGUGAGGUAAUGGCUCACCAAGGCGAAGAUAGGUAGCCGGCCUGGGAGGGUGGACGGCCACAAGGGGACUGAGAUACGGCCCUUACUCCUACGGGAGGCAGCAGUGGGGAAUAGUGGACAAUGGGGGCAACCCUGAUCCAGCAAUUCUGUGUGCACGAAGAAGGUUUUCGGAUUGUAAAGUGCUUUCAGCAGGGAAGAAGUAAGUGACGGUACCUGCAGAAGAAGCGACGGCUAAAUACGUG